rnacentral:rRNA from 1 species
UACGUAGGUGACAAGCGUUGUCCGGAUUUACUGGGCGUAAAGCGCACGUAGGCGGUUCGUUAUGUCGGAUGUGAAAGCCCUCGGCUUAACCGGGGAAGUGCAUCCGAAACUGGCGAGCUUGAGUACUAAAGAGGGUCGCGGAAUUCCCGGUGUAGAGGUGAAAUUCGUAGAUAUCGGGAGGAACACCAGCGGCGAAGGCGGCGACCUGGGUAGAUACUGACGCUGAGGUGCGAAAGCGUGGGGAGCAAACAGG